CCCGGCCCCGCGGCCCCCGCCGCUUUGUCUGCACCCGCCGCGACCCACGGCCCCGGGGCGGGAGGAGGGCGCCAAGGACCCCGAGGGGCCUGCGCCCGCGCUGCUCGGCAUGUCAGUUCCGCGCCGCACCCCACGCCCCAUCCAGCCCGGACCGCAGCCGGUUCCUUGGCGGCUCGGCUUCCCCCUCCCCCUCCCCCUCCCUCUCCUCCCCGACCCUCCCCCACCACCGGCGAGAAAUCCUUUGAAAGCAUCGAGGAGAAGGUGCGCUCAUCCUGCUCCGAGGAGGGAGCAUCCCGUCUCCCUCCGGGAAAGAUGAGGCUAAACAGGUGCCUGCAGAGCUGGACCGGGAAAGAGGGCGGUGGGCAGAUGAAAUCUGAGCCUCAGAGCGUGAAGGAAUGGGAGCGAAAGUGAAGCCGAGUUGUUACCCAAGAACAACAAAGAAAAAAAAGGAAUUCAGGUUUUGGCAUUCAAAACAGGAUCUUUGUAACAGCUUUAUUGAGAUGUGAUUCACAUACGCUAUAAUGUACCCAUUAAAGUGUACAAUUCAAUGA